GUUCGUAGGCGGUGUGGCAAGUCGGGAGUGAAAUCUCUGGGCUCAACCCAGAGUCUGCUUCCGAAACUGCUGUGCUUGAGUGUGGGAGAGGCGCGUGGAAUUGCAGGUGUAGCGGUGAAAUGCGUAGAUAUCUGCAGGAACACCCGUGGCGAAAGCGGCGCGCUGGACCACUACUGACGCUGAGGAACGAAAGCUAGGGGAGCAAACAGGAUUAGAUACCCUGGUAGUCCUAGCCCUAAACGAUCAGGACUUGGGGUGCCACCCGUUCGGGUGUCGUCCCGGAGCUAACGCGUUAAGUCCUGCACCUGGGGAGUACGGUCGCAAGACUGAAACUCAAAGGAAUUGACGGGGGCCCGCACAAGCGGUGGAACAUGUGGUUCAAUUCGACGCUACGCGAGGAACCUUACCUGGGCUCGAAAUGCUUAUGACCAGCUGUAGAAAUACGGCCUUCCCGCAAGGGACAUGAGUAUAGGCGCUGCAUGGCUGUCGUCAGCUCGUGCCGUGAGGUGUUGGGUUAAGUCCGCCAACGAGCGCAACCCUCGUCCUGUGUU
rnacentral:rRNA from 1 species